GAUCGGGGCAACCACCGAUUCCGGCCACCACCAACCGUGACACCGGUACCAAACAGACCGGCCGUGCCCCACCGUCACACCCCAGCCAAGCUCCGUCGAUAGCAGCCGCGAAUUUCGCCGGAAAUUGCAGAAAUCCGGUGGUUUUUCCCGAUUUUUCAAACCGCUCGUUCUCUCUCAUUUCUUCACCAAAUUGGACGUAUAAGGUACUCCAACCCAGCAUACGCAGCAGGCGGGACCCUCUAAGGGUCAAGCUGUGUGGGAUUACUUCCAGUAGCGACUGAGUUUUGCAGUUGAGCCGGACCGGGUGCAUUUUGGAAUUCGAGUCUUCGUAGAGACUCUUGGUACCUUUUCCUUUCAGUUGACGAUAUUUCGGUUGUAUUUUGAAUUCUGUAGUUAUGCUCUGUAUCGCCCACUGAGGGUUUAAAUUUUGUAAGGCCUGGAGGCCUUGUUUGUAAAUUAUUGUACUGCCUGUAAAGCAUGCUGCCAGUUGGUUGUUUUUAACUGUAAAUUUUGAGCAGGUUGAAUUGGGAAAUGUUCAAUUUACAGGGGAGACUCUGCCAAAUUUUUGGUAGAAAGUCUCAG